CAAAUGUUAUAAAACAAUGAAUUUACUCCUUGUAAAGAUGUCGAUUUUUAUGUGGAAAUGAUGAGGACUUUUGCGUGCAUUUUGUACAGGUUAUUUUUCCAUGUCAUCUUGUAUAUUAAUACAUUUUUUGUGAUUUUACUACGAGAAGAAAAAACUAUUUCAUUAAUGAAAAAUAAUGAGAAUUUAUUGUUUUGGGGUUUUUUUUGCGUUAACAUGUCUAUGAUAUACUCAUUAUUAUCUGCAGUUUAGCUAGAUCACAUGAUAACAAAUUGUAGUUGCAAGCUAUUUUUAAAAAUCAAUUUUUUUUACAGUGUAACUGGAUGUGUCUGCACACAAAAACACAACAGAAACUUACUGCUACAAAUGCGUUUAUUUUACUAACAGCUGUAAACCUCACUGAACAGAGCAGCUUUUGAGUUCAGUGACAUCAAAACAUGUCACAAGAGCGAAAUCUAAAAGACAUAACCGAGAUGCUGUUGCUGAGGUGAGUUCAAACAGGGAAAAUGUCAAAUGUCUGGCACAAAAGCACUUAAAUGUCCUUGUACACUCAACACAACAUCUCUCGCUGCUGGUGAACAAUAUUGAAUUAGUUCACACAGUCGAACCCACAGAAAAGAAGCACUUUCUUUGAUUUUUGCUGCAGCGUUCACAGCUGACCUUGUCAAAACUGUCACCGGUCGACUCUCACAGCUUCACCUUCACCUCCAGAUGCUGCCAUGUGAUUGGUUCUGUCAGUUUUACUGUAAAAUCCUUUUACUUGGCAGAAUUUACUUCACCAGCUGCAGCUCACAGAGUUUUUAUUCAGUGUUGAACUGGAAACAGCUGCUCUGGUUCUCGAAAAGUUCCUAUAUGAACAUUUGUUUGGACAAAGAGAAAAGUAAAAAGGUGUAACUGUCAGAAUGAACCGACACCAGAAUAUGCAGCAGCUCCAUUGGCAUCAGUUUCUGGCUGUGAAACUGUGAGAUGUCUGUGUUUUGUCGGCCCGUUCUGUUCUUCUGGCUGUUGUCCGUGUCAUGCGACUCGCAAGUUUCUUCUACUUUGCAAAUAGAAAGAGCAACAAAGUUCAUUCGAGGAGACUGGAAAAGUGGAGGAGGCAGAAACUGCAGGACUUUACUCCAGAGACUGUGUCUAAAUCCUGAGUGAGGUCAUUGUUUUGAGCUGUUUUCAGUCACUGUUUGCUUUAGUUUACGUAACAAAACUAGCCGGUUAAGAUUAGCCACCAAAAAGACUUGGUGGGGUUCAGGAAAAGGUGCUGGUUUGAGUUGAAACAUACAAAUAAAGCUCCUGUUGUUUUCUAUGUCACUUGGAUGUUUCCAGACAGUCUGUAAAAAACAUAUUAUCUCACAAAUUUACAAUUUUUUAUAUUUUCUGUGCAACGAGAUUAUUUGUCGUUUUGUAUUUUUUAAAAAAAAGCAACGGUGCCUGAAAAAAAUGUUGAAAAUUACGGAAUACUGUCAUAAUCAAAAAUGGUGAAAAUAACAGCAGUUAUUGGUAAAAUAAUGAUAAUUUUUGGCUGAUUGGAAUGAAGUAAAUUUGUGUUAUUUUACAGUGACAUGUUGUAAAAUAACAAACUAAUAUUUGUUAAAAAUACAGAUUUUUUUUUAUGGUGACAUGACUACUUUAUAAAGAAGUUUUGCCUAUUUUUUCUGUUGAUUGUAUGAUCAGUCCUAACUCUAGUCUGUAAAAAAACAUUAAAAUCUCAUAAAUUUAAGGCCUUUUAUGUUUUCCAUAUUUUAACAAAAGUGGGAAUAUCUGGAAAAUAACAGUUAAAAUUUGAUUUACCAUUUUCCCAAUCCAUAAUAUUUCUUUUUUUUUCAAAUGACAACAAAGAUCUUUAAAAUAAUUAUAGAUUUUUCGCAUUUUAAAUACAGUAAAUAACAAAUGACUGUUUCUGUUUCAGAGGGAAUGAAGACAUAUGUAAAUGAUUAAGAUUUACAAGUGUUGGCAGGCAAUGGUAGAGGAAGUAGACACAUGCUUUGCCUAAGUAAAAUGAAAAAUUCCACACCGUAAAAGCUAGAAAAAUACAUUGAAUUGUCUAUUUUUGUUGGCUCUGGAUGCUAGAUCUUAUAAAUCUCACUUCACAGAACACAAACGUGUUUUUAGAACACUUUCAUGUCAGCAAUAUAUAUAUAUUUGCAAAUCUAAAUCUAGUUGAAGUACAAGUAUUCAAAUAUUAUCACAAAAUUGUGCUUAAAGUAAUAAAAGUUAAAGAAUUCAGUGCAGACUCUUGCCUCAUGUGACAAUUGUACAGUUAUAUUUUCUAUUAUUUGCUCAUCAUUACUCUUGCAUUGAUGUAAAAGCAGGAUUGUACUGUUACCAGUGAUUAAAGUGGACUUAAUUUUAGACUAUUAAUGAAUAUUUCUAUGAUGCAUUAACCUGCUAAUUAUUUUCUACACUAUUUGCUUAUUUAGUUUGUAGAAAUUCAGAAAAUAGCGGCAAAUGCCGUCAUAAUUACCAAAUAAAUAAAUAUAAGACACCUUCACUGUGCUUCUUUUGUCCGAACAGCAGUCCAAACCUCAUAAUGAUUUUUAAAAAUUAUUAAAAUUAUUAAAAUUAUUUACAGAAAUAGCAGCAAAUCAUCACAUUUAGAAGAUGGAACCAUGAAUGUGCUUUUAAAAAAAAGAUUUAAAAAUUAGAUGGUUGCCAAUUUUUUGUAAAUUGACAAAUAAACAUUUUAGUUGCACUUCAAUGAACUGCUUGGCUAGCAUAAUCUAUAACAAAACAUUAUAUUUAUCAUUUCUUCAUAUGUUUUGUGUGCGAAAAUGUUUAGUUUGUAAACUAACUAAAGCAGAUAUAUGCAGUCAAGUAAAAAGUACAAUUGAAGUGUACAAGUAAUAACUUCUAUAAUAACAAUAACUUUAUUUGUUUUAGAACCUUUCAAAACACACAGUUAAAACGAGCUAUUGCAUAAAAGCAACAAGAUAAAACAAUUAAAAUAAAAAAUAAACAGUGAGAUCCCAUAAAAACACAGUGAAAUCGUAAAAAUUAAAGAAGCAGGCCAUAUGGUAAAAGUGAGUUUUAACAUGAACAAAAAAGAAUCAAGCAAAGUACAAGUAACUCAGAUUUGUUAAGUGUAAUAUUUGCAUGAGAAAAAUUCCACCACUGUUUGUAGGAGUACUUUUGUAGCUUUGCAGGAAGUUAAUUUAUCACUUACAGAACUAGAACUUCUCAUCUAACUGUGAUUUGUGAGGAGUUGCUGAAUGAGCUCCAGUUUAAAGCUUCUAUUGUAGUUCUGCAGCUCUGUGUGUGGCCAGAACCUUUUUAUAUUUUUAGAAAGCCAUCAUCUGCAGAGGGAAGAACAUGUGUCCGCUAGUGGACGCUUCAUGACCCGGAGAGUUCAGGGGGUUAUUCAGCACCAGACGUCUAGAAAACUGGAUUCUUUUGCACAUCUUUGCAGGAAAAUGUGGCUGAAUCUGAUGCAGUUUAUGACUUUGUGAUGAAAUAUUGGAAGUUUCGCUGCCAAAACUCUGCAAACCUGGUCCCGUCCGACCAUAGUGGUUCACUGUGAGGUCCGGAGGAUGAGAUCCAGGAUUAGAAACCGUCUCGACCUCCAGCUGAGAGGUCACGGAAACAGAACGGAGGCCCACAUGUGUUUGGGUAAAAACCACCACCUGACUUCCACGUCCAUGUGUGUGGCACUCAAUCUGCCGCCGGGAUGAGCUUCUGCUGUUUGUUGAAAGAGUCCGAGUCCGAAAUUCUCAUCAGUCUAAACACUUUCCAGGAUUUAAAUAGGCAGUUUCCACUCGACUCGCUCUCUCUCUCUCUCUCUCUCUCUCUCUCUCUCUCUCUCUCUCUCUCUCUCUCUCUCUCUCUCUCUCUCUCUCUGCACCUCCUGUUAUAUCUGUUCAGGCUAGUUUCCACCUGUGAGCUGCUUUUAGUCAGAAAUUCUUUGUCUGCAGGAGAUGAAAGCCGAAUAUCUUCCCUCUAACUGAAUGAUUUAUGAGGAAAUUUGCCCCAAUGCAGCGCACCUUUCAACCAUGGCCCUCUGGCACUGAAAAUGUCAAUAUAUUACACCCCAAGUAACCCUAAACCCACGUAUUCGGUGCAUGUUUCCAGCCUGAACAUUUUCCACCACUCCGGGCCUUUAAAUAGACGCAGUUUCCAUCUCGACAGUUCAUCUGCCCACCAACCCCAUUGUUAAAUCUCAACAAAUCAUCCCAGGCUCCAGAUCCAUUAUUAGUUUCCACCACUGGGCUCCUCACAGACAGAAACUUUCCAUCACUUUCCUUUCAUCUGUCUGUAAUUGACCAUUGUUAAACAGAUCGCCGUCGUUUGAAAACCAAGAGUGUUUCCUCAGACGGGCUUCAAACUGUGAAAGAAAGCAGCGAUUUAACCUCCCAGCACGUCUUCACUAGCUUGUUUGCUUUGCCAAUGAUGACACAGGAAUGCUUUUCACUCAUUCUACUGUCUUGGCAGGCCUCCUCUCUUGUUCAGAAAUACGUGCUCACCGAGAGGCUGUUAAAAUAUCGUAAAAUGCAGAAAAACAGUGUGUUCUCUCCCAGCUGCCACCAUGUUGUUUUCAGCUUUUCCACUCUUACCGUCUCUCUGCAGGCAGCCAGAGAGUUCAAAGCGGCAGAAAUAUGCAGGCAGGAAAAUCAUUUUGAGAUCUCGGUUUCGUGUUCAGUUUAUACAGUGGUAUAUAGAUGGUUUGUUUGAAGGCUAAAGCCACGGAACAUUCCUCAAAUAGCCUGCCAGCUACCGCUAAUGGAAUUCAGUUUAAUGGACAGCUGAGUGAAGGUAGCACAGCGAAAGCUUCGAGCGUGGAUUCAGUCUGAGGAAAAACACUCAAACUGCUCAUAUACAUUCAUAAAGUGAAGUAGAAUCAGUAAAAACAGACUAUGAGCUUCAUAUAGGCAGGAUUUAUUACAGGACAGUGCUAUUAGACUCUACAAAACAAUGUUUGGACUCAACCAGAAAUGAACAUUUUUCAUCUUUAAGACAACUUUGAAUGAAAUUACAGUGGGGAAAACAAGUAUUUGACACACCACCGAAGUUUUCCCACUUACAAAGAAUGGAGAGGUCUGUAAUUUUUAUCGUAGAUGAUCACAUUGUAUCGUUUUUAAAAAAUGUAUUUGCAUUUUAUUGCAUGAAAUAAUCUGGCUCUCACAGACCUGUUAGUUUGUCUUUAAGAAGCCUUCCUAUUCUCCACUCAUUACUUGUAUUAAUUGCACCUGUUUGUUUUGUUACCUGUAUAAAAUGUGGACACCUGUCCACAUCAAUCAAUCAGACCUCAACCUCUCCACCAGGGGCAACACCAAAGAGCUGUCUAAGGACACCAGGGACAAAAUUGUAGACCUGCCCAAGGCUGGGAUGGGCUACAGGAUAAUAGGCAAGCGGUUUGGUGAGGCGGCAACAACUGUUGGCACAAUUAUUAGAAAAUGCAAGAAGCUCAAGAUGACUAUCAGUCUUCCUCGGUCUGGGGCUCCAUGCAAGAUCUCGCCUCGUGGGGUAUCAGUGAUCAUGAGAAAGUUCUUUGGGAAGCUCUGACUGCAGUUGCUGAAUACAGUCAGUGUGUGGGAACCACGGAAACGGUGACGGGACGAAUCACACAGGAGCGCUCUGUGACGUCAGCAUGACGUAUGACAUCAUCAGCCGCCGUGGUGUGAUGGAACAGGCCAGGCGUUUGAGAGUCCUGGGAAUGAUUUCCACUUUCCGAGCCUGACGGAGGGAGUAAACGAGGUAUUAGCAGGUCGUGAUGCGGGCCUGUAAAAAUGCAGCGUGGACAGACACCAAGUCUGUCACCUCCACACGUCCUGAAACUGGAAAACUACCAGCUGACAUGCUUCUGUGGCAUUGUGAUGUCACAGUGCAAGUGUGGAAGCAGCAGCAACGUAUUGAGGUCAUGAAUAAAUCCUGACUGGGACGGUGGAGGAAAACUUGACCUGGAAUUACCAUAAGAGUCUGAGCUAAGAGCUAAAUAAGGAGCAUCACUGCAUCACACUGUUCAACAUCACCAAGGAAUUCAGCCAAAUAAACUCUGCUUCUCUAGUUCA